CCUCCUGCCCCAGCUGUCUGAGGGUGGGGCUCUCCCCUGCUCUGGGAGGGGCUGUGGAAGAGAAGGAGGCGGAAGCGGAGACCUCUCCAGUCGGUCCCGGAGCCAGUAGGGAAGCGGCUGUUGUGGCAAAGCCCAGCGGAAGAAAGGCCAGAGCUGACCUGCCCUGCAACCUCCAGCCCCGGAAACUGUGGGCUCACGGACCCUGGCUCAGCGUGCUGCCGUCCCUUGAAGACACCGGGCUUAUAUUCCAGAGACGAGGAGCCACCGAGGGACAGCAGCCAGGCCCUGAGAUGAACAUCGCAGGAAGACAGGGCCAGGUUUACCUUACGGAGUUUGGGACCGGGCUCCGGGCGUCCGUGUGUGGCAAACACCUGGAGCAUGUGCUGGAAGCCCGGGGUGCCUGCCCGCCGUUCUCAGGUCCUGCCGGAGGACCGGACAGAGGGCGGCUACGUGGUUUCCAGCGGACAUUCGCCGUCGGUGUUACUGCUAACACCUGCCUCUCCCCGCCAGCGCCACCGCGUCUCCCACCGAGGGGCAGAGGGACGUUUCCUGGCUCCGCUUCCCCCAAGCAUCAGGUGGCCGGAGAUUCCCUAUUUACAUGGUGCUCCUGACCGGCAGGUGUGCUCUGGGAUUGGUGCCCACAGGUGGCCUUGCAGGUGCCUGGUGUCCCCUCCGCCUGCCCCCACCGCCCCCCUGGGCUCCCCCAAGGGCUCGCUGCCCUCUGCCCGCCCUCUGCCCGCCCCACACGCGCACCUGAUGGGCUCUUGGUCUUCCUUGUCUUCCUUGCUCUGUGCCACCCUGAUGCCACUUUUCUUUGCUCUUGGGCAACCUGAAAGACUAAAGAAGGGACACAGCCUCAGGACGCGUCCGCCCUGGCGUGGGCAGGUCCCUCCCCGCUGUCGCUGCUCAGAUUCUGUUUCUCCAGAAGCUGGAGCUGCUCCCCGUGAGCACAAAAUUAUUCCGGGAGGAGGGACCUUCCGGGAACGGCCCCGCGUGUGCUCUCCAAGUCUUUAGACCCCGUCAGUCCCCUGGCGAGGGGGAGCACUGGGUGGCCGGGAACACCAGAGAGAGGCCGGGUGGCGGGCCCAGAAAAGGGGUAACGCUGAGGAGAAAACACACGCUCCCUCCGUCUCUUCCUCGGCGACCUGUUGUCUGCAGCCCGCUGCCCGGGCCCUGCCAUGUGGGGACAAUGACACCCGGUGGUCUGAUUCUUCUCAAGUACAGACUUACUUUGAGUCUGCAGAAGGUGCAGAGGAAGUUGAACAUGAUUAUUUUAUUCAGUCGUCAAAGUUUUGGAAACAGAAGCUCACGCUUAUCUAAAGGAAGACUUCCGGCUGGAACAGAAAACUACUCAUACAUGUCUGAUCAUGCACAUGGGCCAACGUGUAUGAACUGCACAUGUGCUAACUUGCAUGAGCGUGUACACGGGCUAACGAUAGGCUGUGAUAUGAGAUUGUGCACGAGAACGUACAGGAUAAAUGCGACUCUUGUGCAACGACUGAAAAACCAGAAAGUAGGCCAUUUACAGAGACGCGGGGACACACGGGUGCAGACUCGUCCGGUGCCGACGCGCGGCCGUGGCCCAGGUGGGUACCCGUCACUCCUCCUCCGUUCCUGAGCUUGUGCCCUGCUUCCCGGUCAGUCCUGGCUGACCACGCUGAGUCUCAGGGUCCCCUCACCCAUCGCUGCGCUCUGCCCCCCCAGCAUCUUCCCUCCUUUCCUCUCGGGUAAGAAGCAGCACCCCACAGGCAGAGGGCGGGUUGGGGUUGGGGCUUCGGGCCCCGGCGCUGCCCCCUCCUGUCUCCGUUGACAGGUGUCCCAACCCCUCUGGAACGUGGCCCGUCUGCUAUGUCACCGUCUCCUUUAAUAGGAAUGUGGGAAAGACGAGAUGUGCCCGGAUCCUCUCCCUCCUGCUGCCUCUGGUCCUCCGUUUCAAGGUAAAAACUUGGAAAGUGGGUGUGCCGCUCCGUGGCUGUCCCCACUGCCGUCCAGCUCUGAUCUCUUGCCAGGAAGAGCGCUCUUUCCGGUCACCAUGAUCCGGAGCCGGAGGGCGCCCCUGGCCUCUUGCAGGUGAAGCUCCUCCGAGCCUGUCGGCAGCCUUGGCGUCUGCAGGGCCUGUGUCCCGGGAGGUCGGUGUUGUGUGCUGCCCUCGCUUGAGGCCUGAGCUCACACGUCCCUCGUGCUCCUGAGCCCCCGCCAGGUCCUCUCCCCACGCGUCCUUCCCUUCCGGCAGAGCUCGCCUGAGUCCCCUGUGCAAUCCACGACAAAACUCAAGCCGUGCGUCCUAUGACUCCUGGUCACGUCUCUUUGGGCGACGCCCUUCAUUCCCGCUAAAGGUUAAAGUCCUCGCCCUCAGUUCCCUCCACGUCUCGUGUGCUCCUCUCCGUGGAUGGGAUUGGCGUCUGCUCCCUGGCCCGAGGCGGAACUGAGCUCAUCCUUGGCCUUACUUGCCCGGGGUCCUGCUGGUUUUACGUCCCCCGUAUCUUCGGAACCAUCCCCCUUCUGCCUCCACGACGCCGUGUCGGGACGGGCUAGCGUAAGCUCCGAGCUGUCUUAAGCCGCUCCAUUUAGGACCUUCUGGUGGCCCACCACCAAAUGCCUCGCCGUGGGCACUGUGGGCUGGCCCCGCCCCCAGUGACUGCCGGCUCUCCCGCCUGGCACACGCCUGUGCCCUCGCACGCUCUUCCGGCGGCCACUGUCCCCGCCGUCUGCUGGCGGGCACAUCCCUCAAGGUGUGUUCCUGGGUGUGGGUGCCCUUCUGACAACCGGCCCUGGGAGCCCGCGGGGCCCCGUCCCCUGCGGGUGUCACUCGCGCUGUGCUGGAAGCUGUCUGCCCACCCACCACAGGCUGCAGAGCCUCGAGUUCCAGGGGCGCGAGAGCCAUGUGCUCGGUCACCCGCGUCCAGUCCCACACCAUGUGUCCAGCCGGGGGCCUGCGUGCGCCCGCGGCCCUUCCUGGCUUGGAUCUGGGGCCCUGCGGCCCGCGUUGCUUCCGCCCGCCGGCGGCCAUCCCCUCCUGGAUGUUCCCGUUACUUCUGAACGCCGCUUUCGGGUCCUCCUUGCGCGGUUUCCUCACGUGCAGUCAGGACACAAAUACUAGUCCCAUAGGACAGCGAGACCACACAGGCAACGUGUACAGCCAUGCUCGUGGUACAUAGUAUGUGCUCGACACAUGCUACCUUUGCCAUCAGAGAACAUUCUGGAACCCUAAGCGAGCAGCUGCUCUCUGAGCCUGGGAGGCUGUCCUUGGGAGCCAGAGUCACGUGGUGGCUUGUGACAGCUCGAGGCUUUGGCGCUCUUGCUGCAUGUGAGCCAUGGCAGGUCACAGGGAUCAGGAGCUC